GAGAACUGAUAAUUUGAUAGGUGGAAUGAGGGAGUAACGCCCCAAAACGCCUGCUUAAUACUCCGAAUGGCAUUUUAUUAAUUAGGUAAUGAAGUGUCAUAAGCUCGGUGAAGUCAGCUGAGAGUACACCCUAACGCAUAAAGGCGAAGAACUGCGAACCAGAGGUGGUCGAGUGUAUGAUAGGCUGGAGUUCUAUAAA
rnacentral:ncRNA from 1 species